rnacentral:rRNA from 1 species
UACGUAGGGUCCGAGCGUUGUCCGGAGUUACUGGGCGUAAAGCGCGCGCAGGUGGUUCCCUAAGCCCGGCGUGAAAGCCCCCGGCUCAACCGGGGAGGGUCGUCGGGGACUGGAGAACUUGAGGGCGGCAGGGGCUGGUGGAAUCCCCGGUGUAGUGGUGAAAUGCGUAGAGAUGUGGAGGAACACCGAUGGCGAAGGCAGCCUCCUGGGCCGACACUGACGCUGAGGGCACGAAAGCGUGGGGAGCAAACAGG